GUUAGUGCCAGCGGUUCGGCCGGGCACUCUAACGGGACUGCCCGCGAAAGCGGGAGGAAGGAGGGGACGACGUCUGGUCAGCAUGGCCCUUACGGCCUGGGCGACACACGUGCUACAAUGCCCACUACAAAGCGAUGCCACCCGGCAACGGGGAGCUAAUCGCAAAAAGGUGGGCCCAGUUCGGAUUGGGGUCUGCAACCCGACCCCAUGAAGCCGGAAUCGCUAGUAAUCGCGGAUCAGCCAUGCCCGCGGUCCGAAUACGUUCCGGCCUU
rnacentral:rRNA from 1 species